rnacentral:rRNA from 1 species
UCCUACGGGGGGCAGCAGUAGGGAAUAUUGCUCAAUGGGGGAAACCCUGAAGCAGCAACGCCGCGUGGAGGAUGAAGGUUUUCGGAUUGUAAAGCUCUGUCUUCAGGGACGAUAAUGACGGUACCUGAGGAGGAAGCCACGGCUAACUACGUGCCAGCAGCCGCGGUAAUACGUAGGUGGCGAGCGUUGUCCGGAUUUACUGGGCGUAAAGGGAGCGUAGGCGGAUUUUUAAGUGAGAUGUGAAAUACUCGGGCUCAACUUGAGUGCUGCAUUUCAAACUGGAAGUCUAGAGUGCAGGAGAGGAG